CCCAAUACACGGUCGAUCUCU
rnacentral:miRNA from 4 species